rnacentral:snRNA from 1 species
CCACUUACCUGGCAGGGGAGAUACCAUGAUCACAGUGGUAGUUUUCCCAGGACAAGGCUGAUCCAUUGCACUGGAGAUCUGCUGACCCAUGCAAUUUCCCCACGUGUGGGAAACUCGACUGCAUAAUUUGUGUUGGUGGGGGGUUGCAUUCACCCUUU